rnacentral:rRNA from 1 species
UACAGAGACCUCAAGCGUUAUCCGGAAUCAUUGGGCGUAAAGCGUACCGAUAGGUGGUUGACAAAGUCAGAAGUGAAAAUCUCUCAGCUCAACUGGGAGACUGUCUUUUGAUACUUGUCAGCUUGAGGGGCAAAGAGGAAGCUGGAACGAACGGUGUAGUAGUGAAAUGCGUUGAUAUCGUUCGGAACACCAAUAGCGUAGGCAGGCUUCUGGGUGCCACCUGACACUGCUAGGACGAAAGCGUGGGGAGCGAAUGGG